rnacentral:rRNA from 1 species
CGGUGAGAGCGGCGGACGGGUGAGUAACGCGUGGGUAACCUACCCUGUACACACGGAUAACAUACCGAAAGGUAUGCUAAUACGGGAUAAUAUAUUUGAGAGGCAUCUCUUGAAUAUCAAAGGUGAGCCAGUACAGGAUGGACCCGCGUCUGAUUAGCUAGUUGGUAAGGUAACGGCUUACCAAGGCGACGAUCAGUAGCCGACCUGAGAGGGUGAUCGGCCACAUUGGAACUGAGACACGGUCCAAACUCCUACGGGAGGCAGCAGUGGGGAAUAUUGCACAAUGGGCGAAAGCCUGAUGCGGCAACGCCGCGUGAGUGAUGAAGGCCUUCGGGUCGUAAAACUCUGUCCUCAAGGAAGAUAAUGACGGUACUUGAGGAGGAAGCCCCGGCUAACUACGUGCCAGCAGCCGCGGUAAUACGUAGGGGGCUAGCGUUAUCCGGAUUUACUGGGCGUAAAGGGUGCGUAGGCGGUCUUUCAAGUCAGGAGUGAAAGGCUACGGCUCAACCGUAGUAAGCUCUUGAAAC